AGGCAGCAGUGGGGAAUAUUGGACAAUGGGCGAAAGCCUGAUCCAGCCAUGCCGCGUGUGUGAAGAAGGUCUUCGGAUUGUAAAGCACUUUAAGUUGGGAGGAAGGGCAGUAAGCUAAUACCUUGCUGUUUUGACGUUACCGACAGAAUAAGCACCGGCUAACUCU
rnacentral:rRNA from 1 species